AAUACGUAGCAAACAGCAUGUCAGAUCCAUGGAUAUGGGAAAUGGAAUAUUUCAGAGAAAUGCCUGGUGGACUUGCAAGAUGCAAUAUAUGCUAUGCAGACAUUACUUUUCUUACAGAUUACAAAUAUAGUGCAAAGUUUCAUUUAUUAACGUUCCACAACAAAGAAUAUUGCAAUAUUACUUCAGAGCAAAAAGAUUGGGAGUCAUUGUUUGAUAAAAUUGGAAACACUGGUACAGUGAAGUGCAAAAUAUGUGAAAAUACUGUAAUCACUUUACAGCAAAACCGUUAUCUCACAGAGCAUCUACUUGUGCACAAUCUAACAGAGGAGAUGGAACAUUUGAACAUUUAAACCAAUGGCAUACAGAAUUGAGGAAUCCAACGGAAUAAAAGAAAAGGCGAUCAUUCAGAAAUGCUGAAAAUGGUACUAUAGCACUUAUAUAAUUUCA